CCAACGUUUGCCCCCAAAACCCGUGUGCCCUAAUUCUAUCUUCAGAAGUGGAGUGUGUGAAGCUCAAUCUUGAAGCAAAGGUGAAGCUCCGUCCGACCUUCUGAAAAAUACAAAGGUGAGUUUGUUCUUUAUCCUAAUAUCUGUUUGCAUGAUGUAUUUUGUGCCAACGAAUGGUAUGAAAAAGGAAGGCAAUGGUGGACACAUGAAUGACACUGUUUGGAAACCAUGAGUGCUGGCCUCCUUAUCUCUUUCCUUUUCGCAACCUUACUCACUCUCUCAUCCCCUUUUCUAUGUCACUGCCUCUCCUUAUAUUGAUGAAGAGUGAGAAGAAAAAAAAGAGUAGGUGAAGGUAGGUGGUGGGAAGUUGGGAGAGAAAUGAGGGAGUAGUGGAGAUUUUGGAAAGAGUGGGAGCAGGUGUAAGAGAGGCAGCAGGUGCAGAGUAAGUGGCGUGGAGAGUGUGGGUCAAAUGUUAGUAAUAUUUGACUGUCCCCAAACCCACAUUAUGGGAGCUUCAUGUACCAAACCACCCACACUUUGGAACUUUUGCUCCGUAAGACCAUAAAGGACCAUCUAAGUGGAGAAAAACUUGAUCUCCUUUUAGUGGGAUUCUUUACUUACAAUUGAUUAAUUCUACAUUGAACUCAUCAUCAACACUUAGAUUUUUACUUUUUCAAUUACUUGUUCCUAUAAUAUUAUUAAUUCUAAUCUAUGACAUUGCUUUCACAGAAUAGAGUUUCAUCUAAUUUCUUUGAAGGUUGUGUUUGUCCUAUCCCAUGUUUAUGCCUAUAAUAUUGCAUGUAUUGUUACUUACUUUUUACACAUAUAGACUUUGAGGAGCCAUGUUAAAUUUUCCAUUCUGUUAAAAUACCCGUGUUUUUUUGUUGCUCAUUUGCUUUUAUCAAACAAAACCAAUCCUUGGUCAUUCAUUAUAUGGAGGACAUAUAAGUUUUUGUUUUUUGUCUUUGGUCUUGAUAGAUGCUUUGUUUGAUUGUUAAUUUAUGCUAAGGAAAAUGAGAAAACAAUGGACAUUGAAUAGUAAUUGGAGGAGUUGGUGUUAAUGCAUGAUGCAGCUUUUGCAGAGAAUCUAAGGUCCAUCUGUGUGGGUGGAUAAGUGGGAAUUAGCACGCAGAGAACCUAACUAGUGUUCAUGGACAUCACUUUUAAACAAAGCACCCACAUGCCUCUUCUGUGAGACUACCACGUUUCCAUAUUGCAAGUCAUGUCCUUAUUUGGAAAGCUAAUCCAAAUACGUGUAAUCUCCUCGAAUAUGAAAGGGCAUAGACCAUAUUCUCUUUAAGCUAAAUACCUUUUUCCUUCCACAAGGGCCUAGGGCAGUUUCUUUGAAGCACCUUUUAGAGAUAACUCUAUUUAAUAUAUACAACAUCAUUGGUAGAAGAAGUACUUAUAAUUAGUGAAUCUAUAACUGCAAAAAGAUAAUAAUGUGGAUUAAACCCCUUGG
rnacentral:lncRNA from 1 species